rnacentral:lncRNA from 1 species
CAACAGCAUUUGCCUUCGUCUUCUGGGGCUGUACCGCGUAAUGAAGCUCCAAAUGAUCAACCUCUGAUGCCUCCUCCUUCUGGGGCUCUGCCGACUACUGAGACUUCUCCUAAGCAGCCUUUGUGAAGGCUCCCUCUUGUAUUUUUCUGCUUAAUGUUCCUUUUUUUUUCAUGAAAAUGAAUGUAAAAAUACCUUGCAUAUUUGUCAGUGUUUCAAAAAUAAACCCACACCAAAAACAGUUAAACAAGCAACAAAUAAAAAUGAUAAUCAUGGCAAAAAAAAAACUGCAGAAAAGGGAAGGUUUUUAGAAACGCAAAACUAGUUGUGGAGCGAUUCAAAAAAUUCCUUAUUUGAAUACAUGGGUUGCCUCCCAAGAAGCGCUUGCUUUAACGUCUUCCAGCCGGACGAAACUUCCUUCUAAACUUGGAUAGGGCCCAUAGCAUGGAAUUGAUCCUUGAAUGGACGGUGAUACUUGACAUGAUCCGGCAAUGGUUUAAAUUCUAGUGUAGGUGCCUGAAUCAUCAAAAUCAGCAAGUUAGUAUAUAAUAAAAUC